CCUACGGGAGGCAGCAGUGAGGAAUAUUGGUCAAUGGCCGAGAGGCUGAACCAGCCAAGUCGCGUGAGGGAAGACGGCCCUACGGGCUGUAAACCUCUUUUGUCGGGGAGCAAAGCGAGUCACGUGUGACGCAUUUAGAGUACCCGAAGAAAAAGCAUCGGCUAACUCGGUGCCAGCAGCCGCGGUAAUACGGAGGAUGCGAGCGGUAUCCGGAUUGAUUGGGUUAAAGGGGUGCGCAGGGGGAGGUGCAAUUCAGCGGUAAAAUUGCGGGGCUCAACCCCGUACUGCCGUUGAAACUGCAUCCCUUGAGUGCGCGAGAGGUAUGCGGAAUGCGUGGUGUAGCGGUGAAAUGCAUAGAUAUCACGCAGAACUCCGGUUGCGAAGGCAGCAUACCGGCGCGCAACUGACGCUCAUGCACGAAAGCGUGGGUAUCGAACAGGAUUAGAUACCCCGGUAGUC
rnacentral:rRNA from 1 species